rnacentral:pre_miRNA from 1 species
UAUGGAAUUUGAUCGUCCGUCUUAUAUGUAAUUUUUUUAAUAUAGUAUUUUCAUUGUUGUUAGAUUUUAAAAGAUGAUUAAUAAUUUAUGCGUGACUUGUCUUUUCAUUUUUUUAUAAUUUUUUCAAAUAAGACAGACAGUCAAACGUUGGACACAGAAACUCAGGG